UUCGUAGCUCAGUGGUCAGAGCGUCCAGCUGACAACCCGAGGUUCGCGGGUUCGAAUCUCAGCCUCAGAAG